CAGUGUCUCUGUGUCAGAUUUCUGUAACAGAAGCACUGCUGUCCAUUGCUCUCAUAAGGACGCUGACUUUCAGCCAUGCAAUGUGCAAAUGCAUCUACACGCUGACUGAAAACAAGCAGGGUUCAGUGCAGGAUGGCCGGGUCAGGAGUUGCUCUGAGGUUACACGAAUUUAAGGAAAGUCAGGACACCAAAAACCAUCCAACAACACACAUUGCUCACCGGCAGGGCCGAGAUGUUUUGGGACUGUAUCCCGGUCAGAUCGCAAGAGUGCAUGCCGUCAGCUCACAUCUGGACAGGUGAGAGAGACAC